ACUGGGAUUGCUAGGUCAUUGGUAAUUCUCUUUAGUUUUUUGAGGAGCUAUCAAACUCUUCUCAAUAGCAUUUGCUCCAUUUUUCAUUCCUACCAACAAU
rnacentral:pre_miRNA from 1 species